CAGAGCCCAGAGCUCAUUACAAAUUAAAGCCUUAAUAAGACUUGGCCCAAGUCCAAAACACAACCCAAAGGGAAACAACUAUGCCAUUACAAUUCCAAGUUCCAACUGCUAUAUUAGCAGUUAGUAGCAGUCUGGUCUUCUCUGCAUUUAACAGCAAUGGUCAAACAGAUCUACAGGUGUUUGAACAUUCCGCCGUCGUCGGAGUCAAUCUGGUGGCACGGUGGUGGUGGGACGAAAGGGCCAGGGAGCUCCCAUUCCACCGCAAUAUGUCUGGCAUUAUUUGUAUCUGUAACAGAGCAGCACAUUAGCUUCUCACGGACAGAGGUGAUGAUUUGAUUAAGCACAGCAUUUUCCAUCCAAAUAUAGUUAACAAGAGCACAAGGCAUAAUUUUCUGUGGAGAAGUUCGCCUUCUCAAUCAAUAAUUGACAUGCCCGUGAGAUGAAUUCAGUAGGUGUAAAACGCGCACAACGUGUUUGUAUAAAGUUCCAAAUGGGGGAUACAAAUGGGCAUUGGAAACAAACGGUGGUUGUGUGACUCAGGGAGUGCAGAACAUAGACUGCAAAAAUUGGGAGUGUGCCAGGGCAACUGGUUUUCGAUCAUGUGUGGAGAAUUGCAGUCGACAAGAUGAAGUUAUGUUUGGGUAUGCAGUGAGAGAAGUGAGAACCAAGUGAGGUGUGUCCAUGCAAGGGUAGGAUAUGGACAUAGGGAUUUGAGUCAUUGACAGUGUGAGGAAGUGAGUAGAUGCCUGUGGGUGAAGGUUACCAUUUGAUUUUGUCAUGAAGGUAUUAAACAUUAAUUUAGAUAGAUCAUUAUUUAGGCAUAAAUGGGGAUUUUGCAUUUGGUUAUUUGAUAAAAAUUUAUAGAAUCUGAUUAUAUAUGUCUUAUGUUUUCAUCUGCGUGAAAAGGGGUAAAAAAAAAAAAAAAAAGAAGUCUUUUUGUUAUAUAUAUAUAUAAAAUCAAUUUAAAGAGUAUUUGGGUAUAUAUUUAGGAUCAUUUUAUCAAAGCAAUAAAGUUAUGAAUUCAUGACCCCAACUGUCUAGAAUUAGGAAUAUAUAUAUGAUUAAAAUAAAGCGUUAGAUACAGACUGAAAUGGCAUCCAUAUUGGAGUUCAACUACUUCUUUUAAAGUGUUAUGAAUUAUUUUCUCCUAUUUUUAAUGUAUUGUAUUAUGGCCGACACUUGUCUGAUUCUCGAUCAAAAACUAUUUCUAAGUGCUUUGCAUUAUUUUCUCCUAUGUAAAUGUAUUGUAUUAUGGGCGGCAUUUUGAGUAGCUCUACAAAAAAAAAUUAUGGGGAUCGUUGUCCUUUAGGAUUUCCCUUUCCAUCCUUGGAGACUUUGAUGUUUGAGGACAUGCCGGCAUGGGAAGAAUGGUCUUGUUCUAUUUCUAUUGGUGUUGAAGAAUCUGGAAGUCAAUUUCCUUGCCUCCGUGAGCUCAGCAUACAUGGUUGUCCCAAAUUGACUAGGGUUUCACUUUUAAGGCUUUGCUCUCUUCAAAAAUUAUACUUGGAAGAGUGUGAGGUGGUGGUGCUAAAAAGUAUUGUUGAUGGGACUUCACUAUCCAGCUGAGAAGUUGUGAAUGUUAUAGGGCUAGUAUCAGAGCUGGUCUCCUUUCUUCCUACAACUCUAACUGAUUUAUGCAUCGCAAAUAUGCCAAAUCUGUUAUCCAUGAAGGGCCUCCAAAAUCUCACCUCACUUCAAAUUCUAUCUAUCCGCAACUGCCCUAACUUUCGAUACUUGCCAGAGGAAGACCAGCCUUCCACGCUUCAAAGACUUUGGUUCGAUGAUCGUGCACCUCUUCAACCACUACACUUGGAGAACAAAGGUGAUUACUGGCCAGGGAAUCAUCCUUCCUAUUAUUUACCGGAAAAAAAAAAGGUGAUUACUGGCCAGAACCUUUAAGAAAAAGGUCUUGAAAAAUGUUCAGACUAUUUUUUUAUGCGACGUAAUGCUCAUGUUCUACAGUCUCAUGUUCAUAUUUAGGUAUUUUCUUCUGCAUCAUGCGAACUGAUGUUUUCUGUUCUUGUUAUUUGGGUGACUCUUGUUUUUGUCUUGUUAUCUUUUCCAGAAUUACCAACCUCUACAAUUAUAUUUCCUAUGUGAUUGUUGUAAUGUUUAUGGUAUAUAUAUGGUUUUUCUUUUUUUUUUUUUUUUUUUUUUUUUUUUUUUUUUUUUUGUGAUAGAAAAAAAUUAAAGGAAAAGUUAAAUUAAAAGUGGUGGGACCCACCACUUAUACAAAUUUUGGCCAAAAGGCCAUGUUGGCCUUUACAUUUACUCACUCCUGUACGCUCUUUAUCUCUCCCCCUUCUUGAUCCAUUUUUUUUUUCUUUUCAAAACAAAAAUUUAAUUUUUGAUUUCUCCUUCAUCUUUUGGUAUUUUUGGGAGUUGUUUGCGGCAAAACGAAGAGCGCGUCGAGAUCUACGAUUUGAUCGGAGCAAAAGUGGUUUUGAUGCACUCUAGGGAUUUCAAAUUUAGGACCCAUUUUGAGGAUUUUUCUAUAAAAUUGAGGAUACGGGAAGGAAGUGGCGGACCACGCUCCUCCACAGGUCUUGAUGGGUUAGUGGACUAUUUUGACAUACUUUGUAGUUAUGAUCUCAUUUAAUUAUUAUUUAUUUAUUUAUUUAUUUAUUUUUAUAAAUCCUGGAAUAACACGUAUAAUAUGCAUUGACAUAGGAAAGGACGGUAGUGUCCUUAGUUGACCUCGGGUUCGGGUAUGGACCCGGUUAGCGAUUCGAACCCACGGGUUCAGGUCGUUACAAUUGUUUAAUUGAAUUUGAGAAGUGAAAUUUAUAUCUCACAUUGUUCCCAUAAUAUUGUUCUACAAACUAUCUUGCCUACUAAUUAUAUGUAGUUUUUCCUUGUUGGGCAGGGUUACAGCAUGGUUAAAACAUCAUUAUUUUCAAAGAUUUUGAUGUGAAAAGGAUUGAGAAAAAUAAUUUUAUCGACUUCGAAAGACAUUUUUUUUUUUUUUUUUAAUAUACUCUCUUACUUCAUAUACUCUCUUUAAUUAUUAUUAUUUUUUAUCAGAUAAGAAUUCAAUUGAAUAGCUCUAUUAUCAUUUGGUUGCUGUAGACAUUAAAAAUCUGCUCAAUCAAACGUAUCCUUAAUAAAUCACGUUUGGUAAUCAAGGAAUGUAUGUUAUGGAACAAUUGGGAAGUGUGGAAUUGUUCUUCCCUCCCUAUUUAGCUAUAUUCACUUGAACAUUAUUUUUUAUCAAGUAUCACAUUUAGCAUUGACCUAUCUUCAAUGGGUAGGAGUUUUUCUUUAAAGGAUAUAAGAACACUAAAAUUCAUAAAUCAUUAAGUAUUAGAAACUAAUUUUGCAUAAAUAAAAAAUAAAAUUAAAAAAAAAUAAAGAAAAAGAAAA